CCCGGGCCUUGUACACACCGCCCGUCACACCAUGGGAGUUGGUUUUACCUUAAGACGGUGCGCUAACCGCAAGGAAGCAGCCGGCCACGGUAAGGUCAGCGACUGGGGUG
rnacentral:rRNA from 1 species